GCUUGGCUGGCUCAGUUGGUGGAGCAUGUGACUCUUGAUCUCAGGGUUGUGAGUUUGAAUCCCAUGUUAUGUG
rnacentral:tRNA from 1 species